UCUGGGUUGGCCGAGUGGUUAAGGCGUUGGACUUAAGUUCCAAUGGACAAGUGUCCGCGUGGGUUCGAACCCCACACCCAGUA
rfam:Ciona savignyi cont_36256, whole genome shotgun sequence.